rnacentral:rRNA from 1 species
GAUGAACGCUGGCGGCGUGCUUAACACAUGCAAGUCGAACGGAGAUAUGAAGCGAGCGGGAAGUGCUUGCACAGAACAAUCAUUUCAUAACUUAGUGGCGGACGGGUGAGUAACGCGUGGGUAACCUGCCUUAUACCGGGGGAUAACACUUAGAAAUAGGUGCUAAUACCGCAUAAGCGCACAGUAUCGCAUGAUACAGUGUGAAAAACUCCGGUGGUAUAAGAUGGACCCGCGUCUGAUUAGCUUGUUGGCGGGGUAACGGCCCACCAAGGCGACGAUGCGUAGGGGUUCUGAGAGGAAGGUCCCCCACAUUGGUACUGAGACACGGACCAA